CCUACGGGAGGCAGCAGUGAGGAAUAUUGGUCAAUGGGCGCGAGCCUGAACCAGCCAAGUAGCGUGAAGGAUGACUGCUCUACGGGUUGUAAACUUCUUUUAUAAAGGAAUAAAGUUAUGCACGUGUGCCUUUUUGCAUGUACUCUAUGAAUAAGCAUCGGCUAACUCCGUGCCAGCAGCCGCGGUAAUACGGAGGAUCCGAGCGUUAUCCGGAUUUAUUGGGUUUAAAGGGGGCGUAGAUGGGUUGUUAAGUCAGUUGUGAAAGUUUGCGGCUCAACCGUAAAAUUGCAGUUGAUACUGGAAGUCUUGAGUACAGUUGAGGUAGGCGGAAUUCGUGGUGUAGCGGUGAAAUGCUUAGAUAUCACGAAGAACUCCGAUUGCGAAGGCAGCUUACUAAGCUGCCACUGACAUUGAUGCUCGAAAGUGUGGGUAUCAAACAGGAUUAGAUACACCAGUAGUC
rnacentral:rRNA from 1 species